rnacentral:rRNA from 1 species
CCCUUAGAUGUUCUGGGCGGCCCGCGCACUACAAUGGCGUGUGCAGCGAGUGCCGAAGUAGAGUUUUCCGAGGUAUUCUUGCAAUGCUCGUUUUGAUGGGGGUAGACCCUUGCAACUGUUGGUUUUGAACGAGGAAUUCCUUGUAAGCAUGGUUUAUCAUCCGACGCUGAAUGCGUCCCUGCCCUUUGUACACACCGCCCGUCGCUCCUACCGAUGAGUCGUCCGGUGAAGUUCGUAGACCUCGUGAUCGCGGAUCACUGGGGGAAGCAAAAUGAACCUCGCGGUUUAGAGGAAGGAGAAGUCGUAACA